UUAGCCUCACUUCCCCCUUAGGCGGAGAGAAGGCUACAGGGAAGCUUGGUAAAAACAGAAUUAAAGGGAAUGGGUGUCGGAAGCGGAGGGUCUGAAGUUCACGACUCCUAGAAGGGGAGGGGAAUGAAAGGCUCUCAGUGAAGAAGGUCCAGAACCCUUCAGAUCAACUUACCAAUAAGUUCAAUAUGUAAAACAGACCAAAAUGGUUGAAAUGGGAACGAAUGAGAGUUAUUGCAACUUGCCAGCAGCACUUACCCCCAUUCCCACCUCCAUAAAGUGUACUUUGAAAAGCACUAGAAAAACUUAUCCUCCCCUCAUAAAUGGCUUGAAAUGCCCUAUCUGUAAUAUGCUACAUUAAAAUGUUUACUUAUCCCAA